rnacentral:rRNA from 1 species
CCUACGGGAGGCAGCAGUGAGGAAUAUUGGUCAAUGGGCUUACGCCUGAACCAGCCAAGUCGCGUGAGGGACGACUGCCCUAUGGGUUGUAAACCUCUUUUGUCAGGGAGCAACGCCGGCUACGUGUAGCCGGACUGAGAGUACCUGAAGUAAAAGCAUCGGCUAACUCCGUGCCAGCAGCCGCUGUUAUACGGAGGAUGCGAGUGUUAUCCGGUUUUAUUGUGUUAAAAGGGUGCGUAGGCGGAAUGCCAAGUCAGCGGUAAAAUCGCGGGGCACAAGCUCGCUCCGCCGUUGAAACUGGCGUUCUUGAGUGGGCGAGAAGUAUGCGGAAUGCGUGGUGUAGCGGUGAAAUGCAUAGAUAUCACGCAGAACUCCGAUUGCGAAGGCAGCAUACCGGCGCCCGAUUGACGCUGAUGCACGAAAGCGUGGGUAUCGAACAGGAUUAGAUACCCUAGUAGUC